rnacentral:rRNA from 1 species
AACGAACGCUGGCGGCAGGCCUAACACAUGCAAGUCGAGCGAAGCCUUCGGGCUUAGCGGCGGACGGGUGAGUAACGCGUGGGAACGUGCCCUUUGGUACGGAAUAGCCCCGGGAAACUGGGAGUAAUACCGUAUGUGGUCGAGAGACGAAAGAUUUAUCGCCAAAGGAUCGGCCCGCGUUGGAUUAGGUAGUUGGUGGGGUAAUGGCCUACCAAGCCGACGAUCCAUAGCUGGUUUGAGAGGAUGAUCAGCCACACUGGGACUGAGACACGGCCCAGACUCCUACGGGAGGCAGCAGUGGGGAAUGUUAGACAAUGAGGGAAACCCUGAUCUAGCCAUGCCGCGUGAUCGAUGAAGGCCUUAGGGUUGUAAAGAUCUUUCAGUGGGGAAGAUAAUGACUGUACCCACAGAAGAAGCCCCGGCUAACUCCGUGCCAGCCGCCGCAGUAACAC